GAGACAGGUGCUGCAUGGCUGUCGUCAGCUCGUGUUGUGAAAUGUUGGGUUAAGUCCCGCAACGAGCGCAACCCUUAUCCUUGUUUGCCAGCACUUCGGGUGGGAACUCCAGGGAGACUGCCGGUGAUAAACCGGAGGAAGGUGGGGACGACGUCAAGUCAUCAUGGCCCUUACGAGUAGGGCUACACACGUGCUACAAUGGCGCAUACAGAGGGCGGCCAACUUGCGAAAGUGAGCGAAUCCCAAAAAGUGCGUCGUAGUCCGGAUUGGAGUCUGCAACUCGACUCCAUGAAGUCGGAAUCGCUAGUAAUCGUGGAUCAGAAUGCCACGGUGAAUACGUUCCGGGCCUUGUACACACCGCCCGUCACACCAUGGGAGUGGGCUGCAAAAGAAGUGGGUAGUUUAACCUUCGGGAGGACGCUCACCACUUUGUGGUUCAUGACUGGGGUGAAGUCGUAACAAGGUAGCCCUAGGGGAACCUGGGGCUGGAUCACCUCCUUA
rnacentral:ncRNA from 1 species